rnacentral:rRNA from 1 species
UACGGAGGAUGCGAGCGUUAUCCGGAUUUAUUGGGUUUAAAGGGUGCGUAGGCGGGAUGCCAAGUCAGCGGUCAAAUACGGGGGCUCAACCUGCGUCCGCCGUUGAAACUGGCGUUCUUGAGUGGGCGAGAAGUACGCGGAAUGCGUGGUGUAGCGGUGAAAUGCAUAGAUAUCACGCAGAACCCCGAUUGCGAAGGCAGCGUACCGGCGCCCGACUGACGCUGAAGCACGAAAGCGUGGGUAUCGAACAG